rnacentral:lncRNA from 1 species
CUCCCUCGCAGGUUGGGGCUAUCAGUAAGGGCUGCCCCAGCUGCAGCACCCAGAUGUGACGAAUGUUCUGCUCUUGGACACCAUGCCUGGCCGGGGCAGCUGAGAUGGCCUCCCCUGUGGGUCUGAUCAGCAGCUGGUGCUGGCCCAGGGUCUCUGUGCAUGACGUCUCGUCCUCUGGGCCCUUAGACUGGGUCCUCGGGUGGAGAUCUCCGGAAGGCAUGGCGUGGGCAUCUACCAAGACCCCCGAGGCCUUGGCUCCAAGACGACGUCACUUCCUUUGGUCACCAGCCAUCCUGAUUCCAGGGGGCAGAGAACAGACCUGCCUCUAGGAAGGAGGAGGGCUGUCCCAUCACAAGGGGCACAUGUGCCCAGGGAGGGAAGACCGUGGCCAGCGAGGUUCCCUGCCCGGUCCUCGGCUCAUCUCCCUGGGCUCCCUCAGCCCUGGACCCAGCCCAGCCCACCGUGCCCGAGGCUCCCUGCCUCUCCCGGGGAGCCUGUGGGAGAGCAGUGGGCCGCCCCGCCCACCCCUGACCCUCUCCACUGUUCCUACAUGCACAUGCGUGCACUUGUACACUCACACACGCACGCAUAUACACACACGGGGGGCGGGGUCUACGGGCUGCACUCUGCUCCCCUGUAACCCGCACAUAUGCCCAUUUUCUCCACCAGUGGCGUCACCCACACAGGCCUGUCCUGAGCCCUGGGAGCUGGCGAAGAAGCCUGACUGUAAGUGCCCGGGUCCAGGCUGCAGGCGACGGUCCCUCCCGCGCUCAGUCCCAAAUCAGCACGCUGCAGGCCUGGCCCUUCAGAAGCUGAGCCAAGCUGAGCUCCCUGCUUGUUGCCCUGCUUGUAUGCCGGGCUGCGAAGACCCACGAGGGGCCCGUGUUCACUUGGGGACUCGGCGCACCCACAGAAAGGCAGCCCCACAGCCCAGAGCCCGCCAAGUCUUCUCAGGGUCCUGAAAACCAUCCGGCUUCUAAGGAGGAGGAGGCUGGAAAAGCCUCCCGGGCACCCCCUCCCACAGGGCUUCUCAGGAGACCACGAAGGUCACGGACACAGAAGUGGACAGGCCAGCCUCAGACGGGUCCAACCUCAAAGCACCCACAGAGUCACUUCUUUACCUUGGACUAAGGAGCCCGGGCCGGGGAGGGACCCUGUCAAGCUUUCUAGAAGAUUUUAGGAGCAGGCUGGCAGGGUAUUGUUCGUCACCCCCCGGUUAUUUUGCUGCAGCCGUACUGCGGCAGGUAUGGUAGUCUAUGUAGCCAACAGGGGACACGGGACAGGCACAGGGAUAGGAGGCCUGGGACCCUGCACCAGAGCAUGGGGGAGGGGCAGCGGUGGGCUGGGUUCUGGGUCAGGGAGGCAAAAAGAGGUCAAGGAGGGAAAGUGAACAGUUUCCAGGGUCAAAAAACCCAUCCACCUGCCCACCCAUCCACCCAUUCACCCAGACAUCAACCCAUCCACCCAUCCACCUGGGCAUCCAUCUGUCCACCCACCCAUUCACCCGUCACCCAUCCACCCAGACAUCCAUCCACCCAGACAUCCAUCUACCCACCUACCAAUUCACCCAUCACCCAUCCACCUACCAUCCAUCCAUCCACCCAUAUAUUCAUCCACCCACCUACCCAACUUUCCAUCCAUCCAUCCAUCCACCCAGCCACUCACCCACCCAUCACCCAUCCAUCCAUCACCCAUCCAUUCAUCUACCUACCCACCCAUCCACCCACCUACCAUCCAUCCACCCACCCAUCAUCCAGCCAGCCAUUCACCAUCCACCCAUCCACCAUCUCCCCAACUACCCAUCCACCCAUCCACCUAUCUACCCAUCCACUCACCCAUUUGCCACCCACCCACCACCCAUCCACCAAUUUACCCAUCCACUCACCCAUCCGCCACCCACCCACCACCCAUCAACCCAUCUACCC